UAUGUAGGGUGCAAGCGUUGUCCGGAAUUAUUGGGCGUAAAGAGCUCGUAGGCGGUUUGUCGCGUCUGCUGUGAAAACUCGGGGCUCAACUCCGGACUUGCAGUGGGUACGGGCAGGCUAGAGUGUGGUAGGGGAGACGUGGAAUUCCUGGUGUAGCAGUGAAAUGCGUAGAGUAUCAGGAGGAACACCGAUGGCGAAGGCAGGUCGUCUGGCUGGACACUGACGCUCAUGCACGAAAGCGUG
rnacentral:rRNA from 1 species